rnacentral:rRNA from 1 species
UACGAAGGGGGCGAGCGUUGUUCGGAAUUACUGGGCGUAAAGGGCGCGUAGGCGGUCCUUCAAGUCAGGGGUGAAAUCCCACGGCUCAACCGUGGAAGUGCCUUUGAUACUGCGGGUCUCGAGGGAGGUAGGGGCGUGCGGAACUUCCGGUGGAGCGGUGAAAUGCGUAGAUAUCGGAAGGAACACCGGUGGCGAAAGCGGCGCGCUGGACCUCUUCUGACGCUGAGGCGCGAAAGCUAGGGGAGCAAACGGG